GUUUGGGUAGAUUUAAAGGUGUUUAAUAGCCAUAAUCAAAGGACAUUUAUUAAUGAUAAGUGGAAAUGGAGACCCCUAAGGUAUGCAGUAAAGACAGGUCCUCGGUUUGGGAUUCGCCACCAUUUCCUACCACACAUUUUAAUGAAAGAUUUAAAUGAAAACACAGAUUUGCUUUCCACAUUUUAAAAAUUAUUCAAAACUAGAGUCAAAGGGGAGCAUCUGAUGCACUGGAUAACAGAAUUGAGAUUCAAUUAGGCAUUCAGAAGCAAAAGCAAUUAUGCUGUAACAAGUCAGCUGUACUGCCAUCCCACUGAAACAAUGAUCAAUACCUGGCAAUUAUGAGAACUUAUGAUACACCAGGAACUUCUAUGUGCAUUAUCCCAGAUGAUCCUCACAGAAAUCCUAGGAGGUUCUACGAUGAAAUCAGAACCCCGCUCCUCUCUGACAUCCGCAUCGAUUAUCCCCCCAGCUCAGUGGUGCAGGCCACCAAGACCCUGUUCCCCAACUACUUCAACGGCUCGGAGAUCAUCAUCGCGGGGAAGCUGGUGGACAGGAAGCUGGAUCACCUGCAUGUGGAGGUCACCGCCAGCAACAGUAAGAAAUUCGUCAUCCUGAAGACGGAUGUGCCUGUGGGGCCUCAGAAGGCAGGGAAAGAUGUCACAGGAAGCCCCAGGCCUGGAGGCGAUGGAGAGAGGGACCCCAACCACAUCGAGCGUCUCUGGAGCUACCUCACCACAAAGGAGCUACUGAGCUCCUGGCUGCAAAGUGACGAUGAGCCGGAGAAGGAGCGGCUGCGGCAGCGGGCCCAGGCCCUGGCCGUGAGCUACCGCUUCCUCACUCCCUUCACCUCCAUGAAGCUGAGGGGGCCAGUCCCGCGCACAGACGGCCUGGAGGAGGCCCACGGCAUGUCGGCUGCCAUGGGACCCGAACCGGUGGUACAGAGUGUGCGAGGAGCUGGCACGCAGCCAGGACCUUUGCUCAAGAAGCCAUACCAGCCAAGAAUUAAAAUCUCUAAAACAUCAGGUAAAGGAAAGGAUGCGGUUGUGUGUGGAUUGAGAGUAUAAGAGAUGUUUAAAAAGUGUAAAACCAGGCCAGGUGUGGUGGCUCACGCCUGUAAUCCCAGCACUUUGGGAGGCCGAGGUGGGUGUAUUGCUUGAGGUCAGGAGUUCAAGACCAGCCUGGCCAACGUGGUGAAACCUCGUCUCUACUAAAAAUACAAAAGUUAGGCACGCAUGGUGGCGGGGGCCUGUAGUCCCAGCUACUGGGGAGGCCGAGACAGGAGAAUCGCUUGAACCUGGGAAGUUGAGGUUACAGUGAGCCAAGAUUGCGCCAUCGCACUCCAGCCUGGACUAUAAGAGUGAAAUUGCCUCAAAAAAAAAAAAAAAAAAA
rnacentral:sRNA from 1 species